AUACGGAGGGUGCGAGCGUUAAUCGGAAUUACUGAGCGUAAAGCGUACGUAGGCGGUUGGUUAAGUUAGAUGUGAAAGCCCCGGGCUUUACCUGGGAACUGCAUUUAAAACUGGCGAACUAGAGUUGAGUAGAGGGGAGUGGAAUUUCAGGUGUAGCGGUGAAAUGCGUAGAGAUCUGAAGGAACACCAGUGGCGAAGGCGACUCCCUGGACUCGAACUGACGCUGAGGUACGAAAGCGUGGGUAGCAAACGGGAUUAGAAACCCCAGUAGUCC
rnacentral:rRNA from 1 species